GACAGCAGCCGCCACGGGAAUACGUAGGGUGCGAGCGUUAAUCGGAAUUACUGGGCGUAAAGCGUGCGCAGGCGGUGAUGUAAGACCGAUGUGAAAUCCCCGGGCUUAACCUGGGAACUGCAUUGGUGACUGCAUUGCUAGAGUAUGGCAGAGGGGGGUGGAAUUCCACGUGUAGCAGUGAAAUGCGUAGAGAUGUGGAGGAACACCGAUGGCGAAGGCAGCCCCCUGGGCCAAUACUGACGCUCAUGCACGAAAGCGUGGGGAGCAAACAGGAUUAGAUACCCCAGUAGUCCCUGUCUCUUAUAC
rnacentral:rRNA from 1 species